CCUACGGGAGGCUGCAGUGGGGAAUAUUGGACAAUGGGCGCAAGCCUGAUCCAGCGACGCCGCGUGAGUGAUGAAGGCCUUCGGGUUGUAAAGCUCUGUUGAGGGAGAAGCGGUAUCCCUUUAGAAAGCACCGGCUAACUCUGUGCCAGCAGCCGCGGUAAGACAGAGGGUGCAAACGUUGCUCGGAAUUACUGGGCGUAAAGCGCGUGUAGGCGGGCUAGUAAGUCGGACGUGAAAUCCCUGAGCUCAACUCAGGAACUGCAUCCGAAACUAUUAGCCUUGAGUGGUGGAGAGGGAAGCAGAAUUCCUGGUGUAGAGGUGAAAUUCGUAGAUAUCAGGAGGAACACCGGUGGCGAAGGCGGCUUCCUGGACACUACUGACGCUGAGACGCGAAAGCGUGGGGAGCAAACAGGAUUAGAUACCCCUGUAGUC
rnacentral:rRNA from 1 species